UGGGGAAUAUUGGACAAUGGGGGCAACCCUGAUCCAGCAAUGCCGCGUGUGUGAAGAAGGUUUUCGGAUUGUAAAGCACUUUCGACGGGGACGAUGAUGACGGUACCCGUAGAAGAAGCCCCGGCUAACUUCGUGCCAGCAGCCGCGGUAAUACGAAGGGGGCUAGCGUUGCUCGGAAUGACUGGGCGUAAAGGGCGUGUAGGCGGUUUGUACAGUCAGAUGUGAAAUCCCCGGGCUUAACCUGGGAGCUGCAUUUGAUACGUGCAGACUAGAGUGUGAGAGAGGGUUGUGGAAUUCCCAGUGUAGAGGUGAAAUUCGUAGAUAUUGGGAAGAACACCGGUGGCGAAGGCGGCAACCUGGCUCAUAACUGACGCUGAGGCGCGAAAGCGUGGGGAGCAAACAGGAUUAGAUACCCUGGUAGUCCACGCUGUAAACGAUGUGUGCUAGAUGUCGGGUAACUUAGUUAUUCAGUGUCGCAGUUAACGCGUUAAGCACACCGCCUGGGGUAGUACGGCCGCAAGGUUGAAAC
rnacentral:rRNA from 1 species